UACAGAGGUCUCGAGCGUUGUUCGGAUUCAUUGGGCGUAAAGGGUGCGUAGGCGGCGUGGUAAGUCGGAUGUGAAAUCCCGGGGCUCAACCCUGGAACUGCAUUCGAUACUGCCAUGCUUGAGUACUGGAGAGGAGAUUGGAAUUUACGGUGUAGCAGUGAAAUGCGUAGAUAUCGUAAGGAAGACCAGUGGCGAAGGCGGAUCUCUGGACAGUUACUGACACUGAGGCACGAAGGCCAGGGGAGCAAACGGG
rnacentral:rRNA from 1 species